rnacentral:rRNA from 1 species
GAGCUUGCUCUUAUGAAGUUAGCGGCGGACGGGUGAGUAACACGUGGGUAACCUGCCCAUAAGACUGGGAUAACUCCGGGAAACCGGGGCUAAUACCGGAUAACAUUUUGAACCGCAUGGUUCGAAAUUGAAAGGCGGCUUCGGCUGUCACUUAUGGAUGGGCCCGCGUCGCAUUAGCUAGUUGGUGAGGUAACGGCUCACCAAGGCAACGAUGCGUAGCCGACCUGAGAGGGUGAUCGGCCACACUGGGACUGAGACACGGCCCAGACUCCUACGGGAGGCAGCAGUAGGGAAUCUUCCGCAAUGGACGAAAGUCUGACGGAGCAACGCCGCGUGAGUGAUGAAGGCUUUCGGGUCGUAAAACUCUGUUGUUAGGGAAGAACAAGUGCUAGUUGAAUAAGCUGGCACCUUGACGGUACCUAACCAGAAAGCCACGGCUAACUACGUGCCAGCAGCCGCGGUAAUACGUAGGUGGCAAGCGUUAUCCGGAAUUAUUGGGCGUAAAGCGCGCGCAGGUGGUUUCUUAAGUCUGAUGUGAAAGCCCACGGCUCAACCGUGGAGGGUCAUUGGAAACUGGGAGACUUGAGUGCAGAAGAAGAGAGUGGAAUUCCAUGUGUAGCGGUGAAAUGCGUAGAGAUAUGGAGGAACACCAGUGGCGAAAGCGACUUUCUGGUCUGUAACUGACACUGAGCGCGAAAGCGUGGGGAGCAAACAGAUUAGAUACCCUGGUAGUCCACGCCGUAAACGAUGAGUGCUAAGUGUUAGAGGGUUUCCGCCCUUUAGUGCUGAAGUUAACGC